GUAGCUCGUCUACUAACUGUUUGAUUAUGCGGAUGAAGGCUGCGUGGGAAACGGUUUAUUCACCUGUCGUUGUGUUCCAAAAUCAUAAGGCUUUAAUGCGGAGGGUUAUAGUUAGCCAAUUUCUCUCUUUCACGAGCAGGGAUUUGUUGCUUUGUUGACACUACAGGGAAGUUUACUGGUUUAAAGAAAGUUGUGGCUAGAGCAUAGGCAACAAGGCAACAGCUACUACAAGCUAUGCAUGAUAGCUGAUAUCAGCCGCAAAUCGUGCGUGUGUAGUAGUUCCAGAGACCGUUUAGUUCUAGUGUGACUGUGUGAUAUUGUACUCUGUAGUAUGUGCAGCAUUUCCGAAGACUGGUUGGUUUAUAUUUUUAUUCAUGUAAAUUAAAUAUGUAAAGUUGUUGUGUGCACUACAGUAGUGAGACAAAAGCCUUUCAUACAUUUAGUUAAGGUUGCCUGUAUGUUUUGAAGGUGUGUCUGGAAAGCCCUGUAACGUUUUGUCUUUAAAAAAAAAAAAAUCUCUUCUGCUCUGGAUAAGAUGGAUGUCUUUCCUCUGACCUGUUACCAAGACAGCUGGAUGUGUAGGAAGCUGGAACUAAGUCACUGAAGAAGUAAACCGAUGAAAACCGAUUUGGAUUGUCUGAGAGAUGUAAUUGACUGAGUUCAGGACAAAUGUGUCAACUAUAUUGUAGGCCUAUUACUUUAACAAUAAAAUCACAAUAACUGUUUAUUUUUUGGCUGUAGGACACAAGUAAAAGGAGAAGAAUGCUGCUCAGCUGGGUCGGCGAAGCUCUUGGAUAUCAUCUGCAUCUAUGAAGGCACCGGUAGGCACAGAGUCAUUCCGGUAGGCACGGAGUCGUUCCUCGAUGGACGUGAUGACCUGGCACCAAAACCGCUUAAUGUGUAUGAAGCUGUCUGCAUCGAGGGAAGAACCCAGUACUGAAAUGACACAAGUAAAAGGAGAAGAAUGCUGCUCAGCUGGGUCGGCGGUCAC